AUUGAACGCUGGCGGAAUGCUUUACACAUGCAAGUCGAAUGGCAGCACGGACUUCGGUCUGGUGGCGAGUGGCGAACGGGUGAGUAAUGUAUCGGAACGUGCCCAGUCGUGGGGGAUAACGUAGUGAAAAUUACGCUAAUACCGCACACGAUCUAUGGAUGAAAGCGGGGGAUCGCAAGACCUCGCGCGAUUGGAGCGGCCGAUAUCAGAUUAGGUAGUUGGUGGGGUAAAGGCCCACCAAGCCAACGAUCUGUAGCUGGUCUGAGAGGACGACCAGCCAACCUGGAACUGAGACACGGUCCAGACUCCUACGGGAGGCAGCAGUGGGGAAUUUUGGGCAAUGGGCGAAAGCCUGAUCCCGCCAUUCCGCGUGCAGGAUGAAGGCCCUCGGGUUGUAAACUGCUUUUGUACAGAACGAAAAGGUUUCUACUAAUACUAGGAGCUCAUGACGGUACUGUAAGAGUAAGCACCGGCUAACUACGUGCCAGCCGCCGCCGUAA
rnacentral:rRNA from 1 species